rnacentral:rRNA from 1 species
UACGUAGGGUGCAAGCGUUGUUCGGAAUUACUGGGCGUAAAGCGCGCGUAGGCGGGCUUGAAAGUUGAUUGUGAAAGCCCUGGGCUUAACCCGGGAAUGGCAGUCAAAACUACAAGUCUUGAGUGCCUGAGAGGAUGGCGGAAUUCCCGGUGUGAGUAGUGAAAUACGUAGAUAUCGGGAAGAACACCAACGGCGAAAGCACUCUGCUGGGCCGACACUGACACUGAGAGACGAAAGCUAGGGGAGCGAAUGGG